UCAGGAGCCGUCACAGGUGCUGCAUGGCUGUCGUCAGCUCGUGCCGUGAGGUGUAUGGUUAAGUCCUGCAACGAGCGCAACCCUCGUCGCUGGUUGAUUUCUCUAGCGAGACUGCCCCGCAAACGGGAGGAAGGUGGGGAUGACGUCAAGUCAGCAUGGCCUUUAUAUCUUGGGCUACACACACGCUACAAUGGAUGGCACAAUAGGUUGCAACAGCGCGAGCUGAAGCUAAUCCCCAAAGCCAUCCUCAGUACAGAUUGCAGGCUGAAACCCGCCUGCAUGAAGUCGGAGUUGCUAGUAACCGCAAAUCAGCAUGUUGCGGUGAAUACGUUCUCGGGCCUU
rnacentral:rRNA from 1 species